rnacentral:rRNA from 1 species
UACGAAGGGUGCAAGCGUUACUCGGAAUUACUGGGCGUAAAGCGUGCGUAGGUGGUUUGUUAAGUCUGAUGUGAAAGCCCUGGGCUCAACCUGGGAAUGGCAUUGGAUACUGGCGAGCUAGAGUGCGGUAGAGGGUAGUGGAAUUCCCGGUGUAGCAGUGAAAUGCGUAGAUAUCGGAAGGAACAUCAGUGGCGAAAGCGGCUUCCUGGACCAGCACCGACGUUCAGGCACGAAAGCGUGGGGAGCAAACAGG